AAGUCGUAACAAGGUUUCCGUAGGUGAACCUGCGGAAGGAUCAUUAAUAGUAUUGGUUGGCUGAGGGCGCGAAAGCGGCCUCAGUCUGGUUCUUGGCGUUAGCCAAGGACUGUGGCAGACACCCGCGAGGGUGGCUGUGAAACAAUGAGAUUUGAGACUAAUAUAUCUAUACGAAAUACAACUUUUAACAAUGGAUCUCUUGGCUCCU
rnacentral:misc_RNA from 1 species